rnacentral:rRNA from 1 species
AAAGGAAUAGACGGGGACCCGCACAAGCGGUGGAUGAUGUGGAUUAAUUCGAUGCAACGCGAAAAACCUUACCUACCCUUGACAUGUCAGGAAUCCUCGAGAGAUUGAGGAGUGCUCGAAAGAGAACCUGAACACAGGUGCUGCAUGGCCGUCGUCAGCUCGUGUCGUGAGAUGUUGGGUUAAGUCCCGCAACGAGCGCAACCCUUGUCAUUAGUUGCUACGCAAGAGCACUCUAAUGAGACUGCCGGUGACAAACCGGAGGAAGGUGGGGAUGACGUCAGGUCCUCAUGGCCCUUAUGGGUAGGGCUUCACACGUCAUACAAUGGUCGGGACAGAGGGCAGCCAACCCGCGAGGGGGAGCCAAUCCCAGAAACCCGAUCGUAGUCCGGAUUGGAGUCUGCAACUCGACUCCAUGAAGUCGGAAUCGCUAGUAAUCGCGGAUCAGAAUGUCGCGGUGAAUACGUUCCCGGGUCUUGCACACACCGCCCGU